rnacentral:rRNA from 1 species
GUCUACGGCCAUACCAUCCUGAAUGCUCCCGAUCUCGUCUGAUCUCAGAAGCUAAGCAGGGUUGGGCCUGGUUAGUACUUGGAUGGGAGAAAGGUAUUGGAUUAACUUCUCAGGAUCUCAGAGGAGACGGUGGGCA